AGCGGUGCGAUUACAACAUACAUACAAUUCAUGCUUACCUUCUAUGGCAGCAAUUAGUUAACAAAAUAAAUAAACUUACACAAGACAAUAAAUUAAGACUAGAAUCAACUUUACUGUUCUCAAAACUUCACACAAAGAAGGAAAAUAUCACAAUUAUCACAGCUACCGAGCUAAAUAUGUCUGUGCCAGCUUUGCACCCGUUUUGUCCUUGAG
rnacentral:lncRNA from 1 species